AGUUCGGAUUGUAGUCUGCAACUCGACUACAUGAAGCUGGAAUCGCUAGUAAUCGCAGAUCAGAAUGCUGCGGUGAAUACGUUCCCGGGUCUUGUACACACCGCCCGUCACACCAUGGGAGUCGGAAAUGCCCGAAGCCGGUGACCAAACCAAUAAGGAAGGAGCCGUCGAAGGCAGGUCUGAUAACUGGGUGAAGUCGUAACAAGGUACC
rnacentral:rRNA from 1 species